AUUGAACGCUGGCGGAAUGCUUUACACAUGCAAGUCGAACGGCAGCACGGACUUCGGUCUGGUGGCGAGUGGCGAACGGGUGAGUAAUACAUCGGAACGUGCCCAGUCGUGGGGGAUAACGUAGCGAAAGCUACGCUAAUACCGCAUACGAUCUAAGGAUGAAAGCGGGGGAUCGCAAGACCUCGCGCGAUUGGAGCGGCCGAUGGCAGAUUAGGUAGUUGGUGGGGUAAAGGCUCACCAAGCCGACGAUCUGUAGCUGGUCUGAGAGGACGACCAGCCACACUGGGACGGAGGAACGGCCCAGACUCCUACGGGAGGCAGCAGUGGGGAAUUUUGGACAAUGGGCGCAAGCCUGAUCCAGCCAUUCCGCGUGCAGGAGGAAGGCCCUCGGGUUGUAAACUGCUUUUGUACGGAACGAAAAGGCUCUGGUUAAUACCCGGGGCUCAUGACGGUACCGUAAGAAUAAGCACCGGCUAACUACGUGCCAGCAGCCGCCGUAA
rnacentral:rRNA from 1 species